AUUCACGUUGGGCUUCUUAACUCUCUGCACAUGGAUAAUAUCAUCUGGCAGCUGGUCUGGGCCGGACCAGUCGACAGCAUUUCGCCAGGAUGAACAUUACCCAGAAAACGAGACUUUAAGCACAUCAUGUAAAUGUUCUGUCAUCCACGUCAGUAACAAAGCAAAACCAACUUUGGCUUUUAAGGGAUCUUCUGAAACGGUUGUGGCCUUUCACGCGAUUUUGGCUUUUGAGAGAUGCGUGGCGUCCUUGUUGUGCAUGCUCUAUGAUUCAUGGUUGUACCUGCUGCAACACGCUAAGCACAAUGUGAAUGAUGCAGAGGAAAAGAGAGAAAUGUGUAAAUGUGAGGUUCUGCAGUUUGAGGUGCAUUUUCUCUCCAAGACUGUCCGUUUUUUACAUACGACGGAGGUGAAAGCAGACAUUCAGUGCACCCGAACCACCAGCUUUGCCCAUCUGCAUCAUCGGAGAACUGUUUACAGUUUUAGCAUUUUCAAGGAGUGUAAUACCAAAAACAACAUUCUACAGGAUUCUGUGUGUACAGACUUUAAAACCGGAUCGCUGAAAUGCCAAAUCCUUAAAUUGUGCGGCGUGUCCUCUGAUGUGUCAGACAGAGUUUUCCACAGAGUCUGCAGU